AAUCCUACGGGGGGCAGCAGUAGGGAAUCUUCCACAAUGGGCGAAAGCCUGAUGGAGCAACGCCGCGUGGGUGAAGAAGGUCUUCGGAUCGUAAAACCCUGUUGUUAGAGAAGAAAGUGCGUGAGAGUAACUGUUCACGUUUCGACGGUAUCUAACCAGAAAGCCACGGCUAACUACGUGCCAGCAGCCGCGGUAAUACGUAGGUGGCAAGCGUUAUCCGGAUUUACUGGGUGUAAAGGGAGCGCAGGCGGCCUUGCAAGUCUGAUGUGAAAGGCCGGGGCCCAACCCCGGGACUGCAUUGGAAA
rnacentral:rRNA from 1 species